UUUCCGUAGGUGAACCUGCGGAAGGAUCAUUCACAAUAAGUGGUUUAUGGCACUCUUAAAACAAUCCAUAACCACCUUGCGUGCAACGAUAUGCGGCCCUCUAUCGUUACCUUUUAGGUUACGGAAGGGGGAACCUCUACAACUUACCAACAUCACCUUUCUCUUAUUUGUUUGUACAUUUGUUAUCACGAAUUAACUUAAUUCGAAAAUACAACUUUCAACAACGGAUCUCUUGGCUCUC
rnacentral:misc_RNA from 1 species